CUUCCUAUGGCGACCUCCUCUGUCGCACGACGGCAUUGUCUGGCCUGCACUGCAACCGCUGCCAUGCCUACAAUCCUCUCCGGUGUCCACUGAUCAGUGAGUAAGGUUGAUAUGACAACCGAAUCAGUCCACUGACAGAGUUAAAGAGAGACGAAGAGCUAUGCUGGAGACAAAUGAACUAGGUGUAUCAAUUCUUAAGGACCUUUAUCAACAACAGUAGACACUGCUGCAUGCUCACACCAGAGUUUCCUUGGUGGUGAGAGCCGCAAAGGAAGUUUGAGCUGUAGAGGUGAAGCUGUAGAGGUGAAGUUGAUGAUUAAGAGGGUCUGUAGAAUGUUGUAUAUUUGUUGAUGUAAUCUGGUUAUUGAGGGCAUGUGAACUGAUGUUGGAUGUGUUCUUGGGCACAUUUUAAAAGGCCUUUACUCAGUGAAAUAAUUGAAUAGAAAUUUA